UACGGGGGGGCAAGCGUUGUUCGGAAUUAUUGGGCGUAAAGAGCUCGUAGGCGGUUUGUCGCGUCUGCUGUGAAAACUCGGGGCUUAACCCCGGGCCUGCAGUGGGUACGGGCAGACUAGAGUGCGGUAGGGGAGACUGGAAUUCCUGGUGUAGCGGUGAAAUGCGCAGAUAUCAGGAGGAACACCGGUGGCGAAGGCGGGUCUCUGGGCCGUAACUGACGCUGAGGAGCGAAAGCGUGGGGAGCGAACAGG
rnacentral:rRNA from 1 species